UACAUAAUUGAUAACUAAACAUCAUUUCAUUAUCUUCAUGGAGGGCUCGAAACGAAUUUUAAAACAUGUUAAUUUCAAGAAUGGAUAUGAGUAAAUCAAAAUUAUAUAAAACAAAAACCGUGACUGAUAUGGAAUAAAUCUGUAACAUAUUUGUUAACCCAAAAACAACCUAAACUUAGUUAUGCAAACAAAAAAAUUGAAGAAG
rnacentral:lncRNA from 1 species